rnacentral:rRNA from 1 species
CACCCGAUGAACUGAAACAUCUAAGUAGUCGGAGGAAAAGAAAUCAAAGAGAUUCCCUGAGUAGCGGCGAGCGAAACGGGAGGAGCCCAAACCUGAGGACUUCGGUUCUUAGGGGUUGCGGACCUGCAACAAGACAUAAGCUUUAGUGGAAGCAUCUGGGAAGGUGCGGCGAAGAGAGUGAGACCCUCGUACACGAAAGAGUGAGUGUUGGGCAGGGAUCCAGAGUACCACAGGGCACGAGGAACCCGGUGGGAAGCAGGGUGGACCACCAUCCAAGGCUAAAUACAUCGAAACGACCGAUAGCGAUGAGUACCGUGAGGGAAAGGUGAAAAGAACCCCGGGAGGGGAGUGCAAUAGAACCUGAAACCGUAUGUCUACAAACAGUCGGAGCACUUUAGAUGUGCGACGGCGUGCCUAUUGAAGAAUGAACCGGCGAGUUAAUUUAUGCUGCGAGGUUAAGCGGGAGACGCGGAGCCGAAGCGAAAGCGAGUCUUAAGAGGGCGGCAGUAGCAUGGAUUAGACCCGAAACCACAGUGAUCUAUGCAUGUCCAGGUUGAAGCUCAGGUAAAAAUGAGUGGAGGACCGAACCCGUGCGUGUUGAAAAACGUUGGGAUGAGGUGUGCAUAGGGGUGAAAUGCCAAUCGAACGUGGAGAUAGCUGGUUCUCCCCGAAAUAGCUUUAGGGCUAGCCUCAGGCGAAUAACCAUAGAGACGGUAGAGCACUGAUCGGGCAAGGGGGCGUAAAGCCUACCGACCCCAGUCAAACUACGAAUGGCUCAUAUGGGCAGCCUGGGAGUCAGAAUGCGAGUGAUAAGACCCGUAUUCAAGAGGGAAACAGCCCAGACCGCCGGCUAAGGUCCCAAAUGCUGUGCUAAGUGGAGAAGGAUGUAGGACUUCGAAAACAACCAGGAUGUUGGCUCAGAAGCAGCCACCAUUAAAAGAGUGCGUAAUAGCUCACUGGUCGAGAGGCCCUGCGCCGAAAAUAUCCGGGGCUCAAGCACAGAACCGAAGCCGCGGCAGGGUGUACUAUGGGACACACUGGGUAGGGGAGCGUUCUUAUCUGGACGAAGGCAGACCGGAAGGAC